rnacentral:piRNA from 1 species
UUGAAGCGAGAAAUAAAGAAC